AUAAUGUUGAACAUAGACUUUUGUAUAGACUCGCAGCCAGCUAAUUCUAUCCAGAUUGACGAGAGCUUUUUUAAAUGAGCUAUUGUGUUUUGCCAAGGAUCACUUCACAGAUCACGGAGGGAAAUUUUGGAAACAAUCAAAAAUUACAGAACAAGAUACAGGUCUAUAUACCGGUGAGUAGCUCUAGCGGCGUUGCGCAUGCGCUCCGGGGGUUGAGAGGAGAGAGAGGAGCUGGGCGCGGGCGAGCCGGACGGGCGACCUUCAACUAAGC